UCCACGGUUUGUGAAAGAAGAUGUUUACAUGAAUUACGACCCCGUCCGUCUAAUUUUUCGAUAUUCUGCGACUUCAACAAUUCACUAACGGGACCUGGUUUGUGGUCUCAUAGGUAACGUUAUCUAUAUCCCGUUUUUUAACGAUUUAACAAGGCUUCAUGGUACUGCAGAAGUGAUUUUCGCGCGAAUCAAAAUGGCGCCAGUGACACUCCAGUCAUAACAUUGUUGCCCAUCGAUGUCAAAGUUAUUGUGUGCGAUGUACCAGAGACGUGGAUGUGAUUUAUUAUACAGCAGUUUGAACUUGUGUAUAUUUGCGUGUAAUGUGUGAAAAUAUCUGUGUCAACUUUUUCUAUUGUUUAUUUCAUAAUAUCAACAUUGAUAGUGGGCGAUUCGCAUGUGAAAAGACUCAAAACAUUUUUAGGUUCACGUCGCUUCGCUAAUUUUGUGUUUAAUAUAUAUGAACUCAAAGAGGUGAACUAUUUCGGUAUAAGUGGAGGACUUGUGAACAAUGGUCACCAUCUAUCCCUUAUUACAUCUGCAGUACGACGGUGUAGACCUCAGCACCUAAUUGUUUUCAUUGGAGGCAAUGAUUUGGACUCGAGUGAACUAGAUUUUAGUUUGGAAUGUAUUGUUUCUAAAUUGACUGCCUAUGGGACUCAACUUAAAAGGUGUUUCCAUUUAAAGUCUGCUACCGUGCUGAGUUUUCUCCCUAGAGAAGUUACUAGAAAUUAUUUAUAUAUAUAUAUAUACAUUUUAUAUAUAUCUUAUUUAUAAUCAACGAGUCAAAAAAGAGGAUUCGCGGAAAGUCAAAAACCAAUCUUAUGCAACGGGGUUCAUCUUAAUGACUUGGGGUUCCAUAAACUGUUUAGACAGAUUAGAGGUGUCAUAUUAAUUCAGCUAAGACAGGAACCCAAGCCUAGUCCUUCUGUAAACAGCAAUGACGACAAGGGCUUCUAGCUUUCAAAGCAUCCAGAUCAAUCUGCAGACAAGACUUUGCAUCACUUGUUAUAAUUUGUUUGGACACAGAUUUAGAUGACAUCCACACCAAAACGCAGGAGGCGGAACAAGACAGCCUUGCAUCCUCCCACAUAAACCCAUCCUCAAAGCGGUCUUAUGUCUCCUGAGGACAUGGAAACGAUGAUAAGGACGUGCAUGGCCUCUAUCAUCCCAACCAUUGAAGAUACUUUUCGACGCAAUAUGGAUGAAUAUCCCCAUGGUGAGAGCAAUCCUUCAUUGUCAAUCCCCAUCCAGACUGCAACUUCACAACAACAAUCAGCCGACACUCAACAAGCCUCUUCGCAAGCAGUAACACCUGACCAUUCCCUACUGCAAGUGAUAACUUCUCAAGGUGAAAGAAUUCAAAGCCCGCUUUCCACAUAUGGACAACGAGCCAACUCCAGUUCCUCAAGCAUUAGUGCGGAUUUGACUGAAACAGCCAAUAUUUUAGUCCGCAACUUUCUGUCUGAAUCAACAUUAUCAGCUUACAAAUCAGCUUAUUUAACCUACAAGUGUUUUAUUGAACAAUCCUUUCAACAUAAAGCAUCCCCGCUACCACCCUGUGUUCAUCACCUGUCUGCAUUUACUGUGGUUUCAUUAAUUUUCGUGGGUAUCAAUUUUCGUGGAUUUUCUGAAAACCACAGUUUCAAGGAUACGUAAUUUCGUGGCCAAUGAUCCUAUCAAUACAAAUUGUUAGUUGAAAUUGAACUUCAAUGAACAUUUAAUUUCGUGGAUCAACUUAACAACGAAAUCGACGAAAAUUGGUAUUCAGCGAAUAUUGAUGAAACCACAGUAUUGUGCAUUGCUACCUGAUUUCGUCACUUAGUUUUAUUUUCCAACUACACCGAUAUUACACAACAUUUCACCAUUCGUAAAAGGCUUCAGGGAUUCCGGAAAUCCAAACCAUCAUCUGACUCACGGCUACCUAUAACCCCAACAAUUUUGAAGAAAAUAAUUCAUGCUUUGGAGUUUAGUACCACAUCAGCUUUUACUAAAUCCCUCUUCCGGGCCAUGUUUACCUUAGCAUUUUGUGCUUUUUUUACAAGUAGGAGAGCUUACCAAAACAAAUGCUCAAACCCAGCAUUUCCUUCUUUUUGGAAAUAUCACGUAAGGAUCCGAUAGUCCAUGCAAUAGGUAUAUAGAUAUAAAUAUACCUCACUUAAAGGAUUCUAAAGCAAAAACAACUACUCUACGCCUGCAGCAAAAUACGACGGAUCCUUUAGUUUGCCCAUGCCAAGCACUUCUACACUACCUAAAUCUUAGGAAACAUUCCUCACCAUCAGAGCCGUUAUUUUCCUUAAUGGAUGGUUCGCCAAUCUCGCGUCAAUACUUCACACAGCAACUGCGUUCGGCUUUAGCUUUUUGUAAUUUGGACUUGCAUCUUUACAAAGCUCAUAACUUCCGUAUUGGGGCUGCUACUACAGCCGCCUCCCAGGGGUUUUCGGAAUUACAAAUUCAGAGCAUGGGUAGAUGGAACUCUGGUGCUUUUAAAAAGUACAUUAGAAUCCCAACACUUAAGUUUUGAUUGACAUUCGUUUUAGUUUUCACAUUUUUGAGUUGGACAGUGAAGACAGGGGCUUUACAAUCCUUUUUUCUAGCAACCAUUAGACAGGGGCUACUGGUUGUGUUUUGAAUAUCUGUGCCAUUAUCUUACUUUGAGAUAGGGGCUCAAACAGUCAAUUUGCUUGUACAUGUUUUGUCUUUUGUAAUAAUAGUCUUUAUGUUGUAACCUUUUUUUUAGUUUAUAGUUAAUAUCAACCAUUAGA